GAUGAACGCUGGCGGCGUGCUUAACACAUGCAAGUCGAACGAUGAAGCCCAGCUUGCUGGGUGGAUUAGUGGCGAACGGGUGAGUAACACGUGAGUAACCUGCCCUUAACUCUGGGAUAAGCCUGGGAAACUGGGUCUAAUACCGGAUAGGAGCGUCCACCGCAUGGUGGGUGUUGGAAAGAUUUAUCGGUUUUGGAUGGACUCGCGGCCUAUCAGCUUGUUGGUGAGGUAAUGGCUCACCAAGGCGACGACGGGUAGCCGGCCUGAGAGGGUGACCGGCCACACUGGGACUGAGACACGGCCCAGAAUCCUACGGGAGGCAGCAGUGGGGAAUAUUGCACAAUGGGCGAAAGCCUGAUGCAGCGACGCCGCGUGAGGGAUGACGGCCUUCGGGUUGUAAACCUCUUUCAGUAGGGAAGAAGCGAAAGUGACGGUACCUGCAGAAGAAGCACCGGCUAACUACGUG
rnacentral:rRNA from 1 species